AUUGAACGCUGGCGGCAGGCCUAACACAUGCAAGUCGAGCGAGCGGUGGAAGGGUGCGUAAAACCUGGGAAUUGCCGAGGCGAAGGGGAGAACAGGUGGAAAAGACUGGUAAUACCGCAUAUGAUCGGAUGCCCAAGGGCGGAUUAGCUAGUUGGUGAGGUAAAGGCUCAACAAGGCGACGAUCCCUAGCUGGUCUGAGAGGAUGAUCAGCCACACGGGAACUGAGCCACGGUCCAGACUCCUACGGGAGGCAGCAGUGGGGAAUAUUGCACAAUGGGUGAAACCCGGAUGCAGCCAUGCCGCGUGUGUUAAGAAGGCCUUCGGGUUGGAAAGCACUUUCAGCGAGGAGGCGUUACUCGCAGAAUAAGCACCGGCUAACUCCGUGCCAGCCGCCGCGGUAAUAC
rnacentral:rRNA from 1 species